rnacentral:rRNA from 1 species
UACGGAGGGUGCAAGCGUUAAUCGGAAUUACUGGGCGUAAAGCGCACGCAGGUGGCUGAGUCAGUCGAUUGUGAAAGCCCUGGGCUUAACCUGGGAAUUGCAGUCGAUACUACUCAGCUAGAGUAUGGGAGAGGGCAGUGGAAUUCCCGGUGUAGCGGUGAAAUGCGUAGGUAUCGGGAGGAACAUCAGUGGCGAAGGCGGCUGCCUGGCCCAAUACUGACACUCAGGUGCGACAGCGUGGGGAGCAAACAGG